GGGGAUUUAGCUCAGUGGUAGAGUGCUUGCCUAGCAAGCACAAGGCCCUGGGUUCAGUCCCCAGCCCCG
rnacentral:tRNA from 1 species